CGGUAAUUCCAGCUCCAAUA
rnacentral:siRNA from 1 species